AACAAUUAUUGAACAUAAUUGACCUUGGUUGUGCUUUGGUCAUGGAUUAGGUAUUUUGGUUGUGCUCUUGAUUGUGGUGCUCAUCAAUUACGAAUUUAUAAUUUGUAUUAGGGGAGAGCCGUGUAGGUAAAACCAGGGUUUUACAGUCAUUCCCUCAUAAUGACAUUCAGCCUUUAUAGCCUGUUUGAGGCCUCACUGCUUGUCAUCAAUGGCAUAGCAGUUCUGAAUGAGGAGAGGUUCCUGUCAAAAUUGGGUGGAAAGGACCAGCUGCGCGGUUUCGGCGAGGAGCCUGGCGCCAAACAGCAGCUCAUCUCGCUCGUUCGCUCCGUGCGCACCGUGAUGCGAAUCCCUUUGAUAUUUCUCAACGUGUUAACAAUUCUAUUCAAGUUGAUACUCGGCUAGCGUCCCUGUGAAAACUUUCUUCGAGAGAAGAUCGUUCGCUCUGUGACGUCACUGGUCGGUGCCGGUGACGUCACUGAUUCCCAGACAGUGUCCAGUGGCGGUGGCGGUGAUAAUGACAGCACGGGAUCAGUGCUCCGGCAAACUAUGCAUCGUGUCACGAAAUCAAUUCAAAUGGUGAUCUGUUCCGCAUUGAAGCCCGUGACAGUUGAUCCAGUAAUCGUGUGAUGUGUUCGUCUUCACUGGACGUGCAGCGUUGGAGGUGGCCGGCAGGGUCCCUUCCUCCCCACCCGAAGUGCGCGAUGAAGUGAAACGCGACCGGUGGGUCGACAGUCCCGUCCGUACUGGCCAAGGUCUGUCGGCAGACCCGUACUGCAGGGUGCAGAGGCAGUCGGAUGGUCUGCUGGGCUUCGCUGGUCUGCUACCUAGUGCUCGUGGCAUGCCGCUGAGAAUAGGUUGAUUUUGUUGUGCCAGGCAGGGACAUUUGUAAUAAUAUAGUCAAAAUGUUUUUGCAUUUGGCCUCGAACCUAAGCGAUAUUCAUAAGAAGCGCGUGGUUGAUGAGUAAAACUGUGAACAGUUGUCAAAACAGAGUUGCUGUUUCUUGAAGAACUGAAAUAAUUGAGGUACAUUAUUUUAUUUUUUCAACCAAUGAAUACAAUGACAACUGUCGCAUGUCACCUUUA
rnacentral:misc_RNA from 1 species